rnacentral:rRNA from 1 species
AUUGAACGCUGGCGGCAGUCCUAACACAUGCAAGUUGAGCGAGCGGCGGACGGGUGCGUAAUGUAUGGGGACUGCCCGAUAGAGGGGGAUAACUACUGGAAACGGUGGCUAAUUCCGCAUACUAUCGGAUAACCCAUAUGGGUUUAGCUAGUAGGUGGGGUAAAGGCGCACAGGCGACGAUCUCUAGCUGGUCUGAGAGGAUGAUCAGCCACACUGGGACUUAGACACAGCCCAGAGUCCUACGGAGGCAGGAGUGGUGAAUAAUGCACAAUGUGCGCAACGCUUAGGCAGACAUGCCGCGUGUAUGAAGAAGGCCUUAGGGUAGUAAAGUACUUUCAGCGGGGAGGCGUUACCCACAGAAGGAGCACCGGCUAGCUACGUGCCAGCAGCCGCGGUAAUAC